UACGUAGGGGGCAAGCGUUGUCCGGAUUUAUUGGGCGUAAAGAGCGUGUAGGCGGCCGUACAGGUCAGCUGUGAAAACUCGAGGCUCAACCUCGAGACGUCGGUUGAAACCGUACGGCUAGAGUCCGGAAGAGGAGAGUGGGAAUUCCCGGUGUAGCGGUGAAAUGCGCAGAUAUCGGGAAGAACACCCGUGGCGAAGGCGGGUCUCUGGGCCGAUACUGACGGCUGAGGAGCGAAAGCGUGGGGAGCGAACAGG
rnacentral:rRNA from 1 species